GACGAACGCUGGCGGCGUGCUUAACACAUGCAAGUCGAACGGAAAGGCCCUGCUUGCAGGGUACUCGAGUGGCGAACGGGUGAGUAACACGUGGGUGAUCUGCCCUGCACUUCGGGAUAAGCCUUGGGAACUGUGUCUAAUACCGGAUAUGAGCCAUUUUUAGUGUUAUGGGUGGAAAGAUUUUUCGGUGUAGGAUGAGCUCGCUGCCUAUCAGCUUGUUGGUGGGGUAAUGGCCUACCAAGGCGGCCACGGGUAGCCGGCCUGGGAGGGUGGACGGCCAAAUUGGGACUGGGAUACGGGCCAGGAUCCUAAGGGGGGCAGCAGGGGGGAAAAUUGGACAAUGGGCGGGAGCCUGAUGCAGGGAAGCCGGGGGGGGGAUGACGGCCUUUGGGUUGUAAACUCCUUUCGCUAGGGACGAAGCUUUUUGUGACGGUACCUAGAUAAGAAGCACCGGCUAACUACGUG
rnacentral:rRNA from 1 species